rnacentral:lncRNA from 1 species
AGAGGAGUUAUAACCCAGUCAGUAUAGAGGAGUUAUUACCCAGUCAGAUAUAAGGAGUUACACCCAGUCAGAUAUAGAGGAGUUAUUUACCCAGUCAGAAUAUAGAAGGGAGUUUACCCAGUCAGAUAUAGGAGUUAUUAACCCGGUCAGAUAUAGAGGAGUUAUAACCCAGUCAGAUAGAGGAGUUAUUAACCCAGUCAGAUAUGAGGGUUAUUAACCCAGUCAGAUAUAGAGGAGUUAUUUACCAGUCAGAUAUAGAGGAGUUAUCACCAGUCAGAUAUAGAGGAGUUAUUUACCCAGUCAGAUAUAGAGGAGUUAUUAACCCAGUCAGAGGAGUUAUUAACCCAGUCAGAGGAGUUAUUAACCCAGUCAGAGGAGUUAUUAACCCAGUCAGAGGAGUUAUUAACCCAGUCAGAUAUAGAGGAGUUAUUAACCCAGUCAGAUAUAGAGGAGUUAUUAACCCAGUCAGAUAUAGAGGAUGAUUAACCCAGUCAGAUUAGAGGAGUUAUUUACCCAGUCAGAGGAUUUAUCCCCAGUCAGAUAUAGAGGAGUAUAUCACCCGUCAAUAUAGAGGAGUUAUUACCCAGUCAGAUAUAGAGGAGUUAUCACCCAGUCAGAUAUAGAGGAGUUAUUAACCCAGUCAGAAUAGAGGAGUUAUUACACCAGUCAGAAUAUAAGAGUUUUAUUCACCCAGUCAGAUAUAGAGGAGUUUUUAACCCAGUCAAUAUAGAGGAGUUAUUUACCCAGUCAGAUAUAGAGGAGUUAUCACCCAGUCAGAUAUAGAGGAGUUAUUUACCCAGUCAGAUAUAGAGGAGUUAUUAACCCAGUCAGAUAUAGAGGAGUUUAUUGUAACCCCACAGAUAUAGAGAGUUAUUCACCCAGUCAGAUAUGAGGAGUUAUUAACCCAGUCAGAUAUAGAGGUUUUUACCNNNNNNNNNNNNNNNNNNNNNNNNNAUAAGAAGCACCACACAUUUUUUUUUUGUCCACAAGAACUC